rnacentral:lncRNA from 13 species
AUGUCUCCUUUCGGCACAGUGAUCUGGGGUCUGGAGUUUCUAUUUUCCUCUCGCGCUACUGCAUCCUUCCUGCAGCUGUUCGGCUCUCUUCCUCGGAAGCACCUAGUUCCAGACAGAGGCUCCUUCUUCACUUUGAGUCCCGGAAUGAGAGGAUUCUCUAAAGAGACCACCUGGCUGGGUGCUCAAACCACAUUGGCUGACCCAAAAGACAUCCAAGAGCUGCUUGGAGGGCACUAAAAGUUGACGGUCUUGGCCGGCUUCACAUCCUCAAUUUCCGCAGUCAGCCAGCGGUAAGUGCGAUGAAGCCGCAGCACCUCAAUGGGCUUGAGUUCCAGUGGUGUUGGCUGAAUACCAAGGUCUAAGCCAGGCAGGUUAGGAAAUUUCAUGUCUGUGAUGUGAAUCCGCUCCACUUUAUCCAUUGUUGUCCAGGGCUCAAAUAGGCUUAUUUCAAAUAUUCUUGCUAUCCAUCGAUAGGCAAAAGUGGUAUGGGGUAUGGGAGGAAUAAUCUGUGAGUGACAGCAUAGAUGUACUUCACCAGGUCAAAGAGGAGGUACCGAUUUGGCCCAACGAAAGCAAAGGUCUUCCCGCUGGCAUGAGGAUCCUUAAUUGCAUUAAUAAUUCCUUUGGAUACAUUUGAGACAUAUACUGGUUGUUUAACUGUCUUCCAGCCCAAGGAAACAAGGGGUAUAGGACC